GAAAAAAAAAAUAUGCAUUUUGUAGCUGAGAAUAUGCUCUAUAAAAUAGUGUUAUUGUACUCUUUGUAGCUGUUGCAGUUUUCUUGGGAAUAAAAUGGAGGCAUUACUUUUGGAGCAACUUAUGCCCAUAACUUUCUACAAGUAUAACUCAGGCUCAAUGGAACUAACAGUACAUAAAAAUUUGUCCUUAAAGGUAAGAACAUUGGCAAAUGCUGACAAAGUCAUGACCUUUCUUUCUAUUUCUUGUACUAAUUUCACUCUGUUCUCAACAUUCAUGCAGCAGUAACUGAGUGAAAUCAGUAGAAAUUCUGAGUGUGAGCAGCUGCUGCAGAAGGCAGUGGGAAUUAUAGAGAUUCAGCAUCCAUCACCGCACAGAAAUAUAGUGGACAUAAUGGCUGCAAAGUCCCUAGCUAUGCCAGUCUUCAUUGAGAAUGAUGAAAGAAGUCCACAAAAUAAGCAGCCACAAGACCAGAAGAGAAAAGAUUCUCGAAGGAAGAGCAAAGCCUUAGACCGUGACAGAAGAGUCAUCUGGCUGCAAGGAAGCGCUGGUAUG